rnacentral:lncRNA from 1 species
ACACCAAACAACAAAUGGAUUUAACAGAAUACAUCCACAGAGUAUUCUAUCCAAACACCAAGGAAUACACAUUCUGCUCAGCACUACAUGGGAGUUUUUUCUAAAAUAGAUCCCAUUGUAGAGAACAAUACAAAUCUUUACAGAUUCAAAAGGUUCGAAGUUGCUCCUUGCAUCUGAUCUGACCACAAUGCAAUAAACAUUUAAAUUGGCAGCAAACAAAUCUCUCUUAAAUACAUAAACUCACUGAGAUUAUACAGCUCAUUUCUAAGUGGUGGACAGGUCAAACAUGAAAUCAAGAAAGAAAUACAAAACUUCCUGGAAAUAAAUGAAACUGAAAAUACAACACACCACCACCCCUGGGGCACAGUGAAAACAGUUUUGCCAGGGAAAUGUUUAUCUCUGAGUGCUUAUAUUAAAAAAAUGAAAACAAGCACAAAUAAAUGUGUAUUCCUUUAAGCUGGAAAAUCUAAAAGAUAUGUAUGGCUUUCUACAUCUAGCCAAACAUCCAAAAUUAAACCAACAGAAAAUUAACAGCCAAACAGACCCAAGUGAGGAGAUUGAAACCAUGGAAAAAAAAAGCCUUCUAUCUAAGAAAAGUCCAGGACCAGAUGGAUUCACAGCAGAAUUCUAUUGGGCAUUUAAAGAUCUACAGCUAUUCCUUCUUAAACAUCCUUUAAAAAAGAGAGAAGAAAAGAAACAGUAGGAACACUCCCAAACUCUUUCUAAAAAGCCAGUAUCAUUAUAAUACCCAAACCAGUUCACCCCCCCCCCCCCCCCCACACACACACGGGGGUGGGGGGAGGGGAGAAUGGGGGAGAGAGAAUGAAUUACAGGCCAAUAUUACCAAUGAACAUAGAUUCAAAAAUACUCAAUGAAAUAAUUGAAGCUAGAAUAUAGAUAUAUAUCAAAAAUAUUAUCCACUAUGACAAAGUUGUUAUUAGGCCUGAAAUAUAGAAAUGGUUCAACAUACACUAUUCAAUACGUAGACUAAACCACAUAAAUGGAAUCAAAGACAAACGUUAUAUGAUCUCCUUAAUGGAUGCAGGAAAAAAAAACAUUGUUAAAACCCAACAUACUUUUAUGUUAAAAGUCUUAGAAAAUGUAGUGAUAUAGGGACCAUACUGUAGUCUAAUAGAAGCUGUAUUUGACAAACCCACAGCCAGUACCAUCUUAAAUGAGAACCAGUCCAGCUGAAGUCAGGAAUGAGGCAGGGGUGGCCACUAUCUUCACUCCAUUCCAUAUUGUACUUGAAGUACUUGAUAGGGCAAUAAUAGUGUAAGAGAAUGAAAUUAACAAGAUACAAGUAGGGAAAGAAAAUGACAAACUGUCCCUAUUUGCAGUUGAUAGAGGUCAAAAAAAGUUACCAGAAGACUUUUAGAAACCAUGUACUAAUUCAGCAGUGUGGCAGGAUAAAAGAAUCAGCUUCCAGAAACCAAGAGCUCUCGUAUCCACCGACAGACAUCCAGAGAAGGAGAUCAUGGACUCACCCUCAUUAACAACAGUAUCAAAGGAAAUGCAAUUCUAGGAAUAACCCUCACCAAGGGAAUGAAGGAACUCUACAAUGAAAACUUGAAACAGAUUGAGUAAGACAUUAGAAAAUGGAAAGACACCACAUGUUCAUGGGUUGUAAAGGUGACCAUUCCACUAAAGCUGAUUCAGUGCAAUCCCAAUAAUACCGUGUCUCAUUCUUUCCAGAAAUAGAGGAAAACUAUCCUAAAUUUCAUAUGGAACCACAAUAGGCUCCAAGUAGCCAAAACUACAACCCAAGUUAUAGUGGGGAAGAACUGCUGGAAGAAUUAGAAUCCCUGAUCUUAAGAUACAUUACAAAGCCAUAGUAGUCAAAACAGUAUGGUGUUGGCACAAACAGUCAUGUAAACCAAUGGAACAAAAUUAAACACCCAAACAUGAGCACAUGUAACUUCAUACACUUAAUACCCGACAAAGACGCUAACAUAGUACACCAGAAAAAAGAGGCAUCUUCCACAGACAGUGGUGUGGAAACUGGAUUUCCUUGUGCCGAAGAAUGAUUCAUAUCUAACACCUUGCACUCCAACGGUCUCCAGUUGAUCCCCUACGUGAUGCAUGCCCAGGAAAGACUUUCUGAAUAGGAGUCUGUUUGCCUAAGGGUUACAGCCAACAAUUGACAUUUGGGUUCUCAUGAGACUAAAAAGCUUCUGCAUAGCAAAAGGAACAGUCGGCUGCCCAGAGGAAGCCUAGAGAACGGGAAAGAAUCUUUGAUAGCUAGGCUUCUGACAGAGGUUUAUUUUAUUAUCCAUAGUACACAAAGAAUUAAAAAAAAAAUCCCCUGCCCAAAAAUUUAAAUAUUUUUAAAAAUUUUGUUUGAAUAAAAAAUAGAUGAGAGUUCUCAAAAGGAGAAAAUGAAUGGAUAAGAAAUAUCUCAAAAAAUGUUUAUGGUCUUUAGAAGCUAGGUAAAUGCAAUGAAAACAAGGUCAAGAUUUUAUCUCAAUGCAGUCAGAAUGGCAGAGAUCUAGAAAACAGCUAACAGUAAGUGUUGGAGGGAAGCAGAAAAAAGGGAACCCUGUUCACUUCCGGUGAGAUGGCACACUGGUGCAACCACUAUGGAAAUCAGGGUGGGAAAUCCCUCAAAAGUUAAAAUGUGGCCCAGCUAUACCUCAACUCGGCAUGUGCCCAAAGGACUCAACAUCGUAUCCCACAGAUACUUGCUCAACUGUGUUCAUUGCUGCUCUCUUCAGAACAGAUAGGAAAUGGAAGCAAGGUGAAUGUCCACAUCUGACAUAGGUAAUGAAAACCUGGUACAUAUGCACUGGGUCAUACUUUGAAGCAGUAAAGUGAAACAAAAUCACGAGCUGUUUGGGUUAGCAGAUAGAAUUGGAAAAGAUCACAUUGAGUGAGGUCACCCAGACACAGAAAGACAAAUGUCACAUCCCACUUAUUGGUUGCUUCUACUCCCACAUCUUGAGAUGUGAUUACAUAGUCAGGUGUGAACACACAGGCUGCAGUAACUGCACAACCCAGGAAAGUACGAAGAGCACAUUGCCGAGAUAGAGGGACUCAGGAACAACAGAAAGAUACAGAGCAGAGUGCAAGUGAUCUGAUGAGGAAAAAUGGAAAAAGGAAGUCUCCUUAUGGGGCAGGCAGGAAGAUCAGAAGGGGGGAGAGGAGGAGGAUAAAGAGGAUGUCUUAGUCAGGGUUUCUAUUCCUGCACAGACACCAUGACCAAGAAGCAAGUUGGGGAGGAAAGGGUUUAUUCAGCUUACACUUCCACAAUGCUGUUCAUCACCAAGGAAGUCAGGACUGGAACUCAAGCAGGUCAGGAAGCAGGAGCUGAUGCAGAGGCCAUGGAGGGAUGUUUGUUUACAGGCUUGCUUCCCCUGGCUUGCUCAGCCUGCCCCCUUAUAGAACCAAGACUACCAGCCCAGAGAUGGUCCCACCCACAAGGGGCCUUUCCCCCUUGAUCACUAAUUGAGAAAAUGCCUUACAGCUGGAUCUCAUGGAGGCAUUUCCUCAACUGAAGUUCCUCUUUCUGUGAUAACUCCAGCCUGUGUCAAGGUGACACAAAACUAGCCAGUAAAGAGGAAUAGCAGGAGACAAGUGAGCUUAGAGUGGAAAGAGCAAAAGAGUGGCUCCUUAGGAGAGAGGGGGAGGUUAGUGAAACAACACGGGAUGCCUGAAAAAGUGAAACUAUUAACUUAAAAUAAAACAAACCACCAUACAAACAAUUGAAAACUCACCCCAAACAUAAUGCACAUAAUUAAUUCAGUGUAUAAAUAUACAUACAUAAUUUGAAUGAACUUUUUUUUAUAUGAGCUAAUGGUACUCCCUCCAAGGGCUAAGGACCACCUAACAAAACCACAGUAUGAGUCAUAAGAUGCCCUCUUUAGUUGUUGGCCAGAGUUGCCUAAGCGACUUCUAAAACAUAGAGCCUAUUGUUGUUCCCUUGGUUAACUCCCAAGAGGUGGAAGGUAAGUCCCUAUUGCUGAAGAUACUACAUGUUAGAAACAGGGCUCAGAAGCCCCUGAGCUGCUACUGACCUGAAUGUCACCUCCCUGAGGACUAAUUUCAUGGUGCCAGAAGGUGCCAUGCAAGAUCCAAAGGAGAAAAGCAGCUAGCAGUCCCAUACAGCUGUCACACCCGUGUACCAUGUCAAUGACCAGUAUGGCACAAUCAAUAACCCUCCAAGUACAGGAGAGGCAAACAUACCUUGGUGGUAACCUAUAGCUCUCUAAGUAGAACAAAACCUUGUUCAACAAGACGGAGACCAUGCUUGAUACCGGAAGUCGAGGUAACUACUCAGUGCUAGUAAAAGUCAUGGUUGUUGAGGAGAAUCUGCAGCUGCUAAUUUACUAAGCCAGCAUAUCCCUAACAGUCUUUAAACAUUUGUCCUUAUGCCCACGGAUAAUUUUAGCCUUCACCACUCAUCAAAGAAAUUUUGCUUAGAAAAUUAGAUGGAGACUAUUACAGAACAACACUCCAUCAAUAUGUAGUUGUAGAGCCCAGUCCCAGUGAAUACACAUAGAAAGCACUGCUGCACAGCGGCCCAGGAGACAUCGAGAAAGAGAAUGGGAAGACUGUAGGAGCCAGGGAGUUUGAUGAGAUAUUGUAUCUCCAGUAAGAUAAAAAGCUACACCCAGUAAGUCUACACAUUACCUUAUACAGACUCAGUGGGUUAUCCUUGGGAGUUUGUGUAUAUAUGUCUCUGUGUGUGUGUGUGUAUGUGUAUGUGUGUGUGUGUGUGUGUGUGUGUGUGAGAGAGAGAGAGAGAGAGAGAGAGAGAGAGAACACACACACCCUCAGUAAGAAUUGAUAGAAGAUAAGAGGUAUCCAUAGGAGGGCUUGGCAGAACAGAAGGGGAGGGAGAAAUUUAAUUUUAAAAAUUAAUCGAAGUUAGAAAAGGAUAAUGUGGUACAUAUUCGCAGUAGAAUUUCAGCCAUUAUAAAAGAAGAACAUUCUGUCAUUUACGAUAAUAUGAUGAGUCUGGAAAAUGUUAUAUAAAGUAAAAUAAGCCC